GUGCACAUUUUGUUUUGCUAAACAAUAUUGUUUGGUCUUCCCAGAUCCUUUCUCAAGAAAGCUUCAGCUUUUCUGGAAAGAGUUCAGAGAGGAAAGUUUGUUGCUAUUUGCAGCAGCAAACAGCUAAGAAAUCAAAGGCAACAAUUCAUAACAGAGAUCAGCAAAAGUAGCCUGAGCUGUUGGUGGUGGUGAGAAAUGUACCCUGCAGAGGCAGCAAGGCACAGGGGCACGAACUGUGGGAAAAUCACAAAGUGCUUUAAUUCUUCCCAAGCUUGGGCAGUAGCCCACAUCUCGGAGGCAAGAUGGCACAUGAAACAUUCAUUUCCUCUUCCCAAGCAUUUCCUGUGGGGCCACCAGGUGCAUCUUUCCUGCAGUCCUGUGAGCUGUGCUGCUAAUUCAGCAUGGAGCUGGGUGAGGAAGGACAGACUCCCUAAUGCAUUUCUGUGUUUUUACUCAUGAUACUUGAGAGAGCCCAGUGAUGUAAACACACCCAGAUGUGUGAAACAUGCCCUUGGCCCCCCUGCCAUGCUGCUCUGGGAGUGCUGUGGAGCAUUUCCAUUCUGGGUUACUAGUUUCUGUGGGAAGGGGGCUGUUUGGACAAUAAUACCCACGUGUGC